rnacentral:misc_RNA from 1 species
AACGCACAUUGCGCCCUCUGGUAUUCCGGGGGGCAUGCCUGUUCGAGCGUCAUUACAACCCUCAAGCUCUGCUUGGUAUUGGGCUCCGCUGGUCCCAGCGGGCCUUAAAAUCAGUGGCGGUGCCUCUCGGCUUCAAGCGUAGUAAUUCUUCUCGCUUCGGAGACCCGGGUGUGUGCUAGCCAGCAACCCCCAAUUUUUUCAGGUUGACCUCGGAUCAGGUAGGGAUACCCGCUGAACUUAA